AAAGGAAUAGACGGGGGCCCGCACAAGCAGCGGAGCAUGUGGUUUAAUUCGAAGCAACGCGAAGAACCUUACCAGGGCUUGACAUCGCCUGACGCUGAUAGAGAUAUCAGUUCCCUUUUUGGGCAGGCAGACAGGUGGUGCAUGGUUGUCGUCAGCUCGUGUCGUGAGAUGUUGGGUUAAGUCCCGCAACGAGCGCAACCCUUAUCUUUAGUUGCUAACAGGAUAGCUGAGCACUCUAGAGAGACUGCCGGAGACAAUUCGGAGGAAGGUGGGGACGACGUCAAAUCAUCAUGCCCCUUAUGUCCUGGGCUACACACGUGCUACAAUGGCCUUUAACAGAGGGAAGCGAGGGGGCAACCCGGAGCAAAUCCCAUAAAAGAGGUCCCAGUUCGGAUUGUGGGCUGCAACUCGCCCACAUGAAGUCGGAGUUGCUAGUAAUCGCGAAUCAGCAUGUCGCGGUGAAUGCGUUCCCGGGCCUUGUACACACCGCCCGU
rnacentral:rRNA from 1 species